CCUGUGUUUGGGAUUGGCCCC
rnacentral:miRNA from 1 species